rnacentral:rRNA from 1 species
GUAGGAGGCAAGCGUUAUCCGGAUUCACUGGGCGUAAAGCGCGUGCAGGCGGUGCGGUAAGUUGGGUGUGAAAUCUCCCGGCUCAACUGGGAGAGGUCAUUCAAUACUACCGUACUCGAGAGUAGAAGAGGAAGAUGGAAUUCCCGGUGUAGUGGUGAAAUGCGUAGAUAUCGGGAGGAACACCAGUGGCGAAGGCGAUCUUCUGGUCUAUUUCUGACGCUCAGACGCGACAGCUAGGGUAGUAAACGGGAUUAGAGACCCCGGUAAUCCUAGCCGUAAACGAUGUGAACUUGGCGUUGGUGGGUUAAACUCCAUCAGUGCCGCAGCAAACGCGAUAAGUUCACCGCCUGGGGACUACGGCCGCAAGGUUAAA